rnacentral:rRNA from 1 species
UACGUAGGUCCCGAGCGUUGUCCGGAUUUAUUGGGCGUAAAGCGAGCGCAGGUGGUUUAUUAAGUCUGGUGUAAAAGGCAGUGGCUCAACCAUUGUAUGCAUUGGAAACUGGUAGACUUGAGUGCAGGAGAGGAGAGUGGAAUUCCAUGUGUAGUGGUGAAAUGCGUAGAUAUAUGGAGGAACACCGGUGGCGAAAGCGGCUCUCUGGCCUGUAACUGACACUGAGGCUCGACAGCGUGGGGAGCAAACAGG